ensembl:lncRNA
CGGCCCCGGCCUUGCCCAGCCCCAGCGCCGGCACCUUCAGCCGGAAUUUGCCCUCGGGGCCGGGCGGCUCCGGCUCCGUGGCAAAGCCGGCGGGAAGCGAUGGUGCCCUGCUGCCGGCAUCGGGGGCCUCGGGGGCUCCGGCGCCGCGGACGUCAGGGCUGGACCCGCCGAACCGCGGCAGCUUCGUCCAGCCGCGCCACCCCGCCGCCGCCGCCGGAUCACCGCCCCAGCCCGGCUCCGGCUCCGGUUCCGGCACCUUCCCCUUGGGGAACUUGGGCAGCCCCAGCGAGGGCAUCCGGAAGGAGCUGCCGGCCACCGUCAGCGGCAGCUCGGUGUCCGAGAGCCGUGCUUUGGGCAGGGCGAUGUCCAGCCGGGGCACCCGCAUCCGGGGGCUGCCGGAGGCGCCGGCAUCGGCCGGCUCUGCCGAGCUGCUCCGCUCCCGCGGCCCCUCCAGGCUCAGCUCCACUUGGGGCAUUUUCCGAUGGCUCUCGGCGGUGCCAGCAUCCUCCGCCGGCCGGUUGGUGCCGUCCGCACUGGCCCGCGGCAGGCUGAUGUCCAGCUCCACCGCCGGGAGCGCGACGCCGACGGAGGGCACCCGGGGGGCCCAGGCGUCCCCAGGCUCCGGCGGCUCCGGCGCUGCCCUGCCGCCGGCUCCCAGCCCGGGCAGCUCCACCUGCGGCAGCUUAAUCCCCACCUCGGGAGCCAGGAAGCAGCCGCUGCCGUCUGCCGCCCCCUCCGGCAGCGCCGGGCCGGGCUCCUCCGCCUCCCGCCUGGCCGCCCCGAACGACGGCAUCUUGAACUUGGCUUUCCUGGCCGGGGCCUCGGCAGCCCGGCUCUCCGCCGCGGGCUCGCCCUCCUUGUCCUUGCCGCCGAGCCGCGGCAGGGAGAGUUUGGGCAUCCUCAGCUUCGCCCCGCCGGCGCCGCCCUCGGGGCUCGCCGCCGGCUCCCCCUCCGCGCUCUUCCUCGCCUUCGGCCCCGCCGCCCUGAACCGGGGCAGGGCGAACUUGGAGGGCUUGGGCUUGCCGUCGGCGCCAGAGCCGCGUGCUGCCGCCUCCGUCCCCGCGCCGGGCACCUCCAGCUCCAGGCUGAGUCUCCGCAGGCCCCUCUCGACCGCGGUCGCCGCGUCCGGCUCCGCCGCCUCCUCCGGCUUCGCCCGCCCCACCGAGAUGUCCACCCUGGGGAUCCUGGCCACCACGGCGCCCAGGCCCGGCCCCCCGGCGCCCUCCGGACCCUCAGCCGCCGGCUGCGGCGCCGGUUCCCGUGCCGCCGGCAGCUCCAGGCCCACGGCCACCGCGGGCACCGCGAUGUCCAGCGCCGGCACCGGCACCUCCGGGAAGCUCAGCCGCGCCGGGGCCGGCUCCAGGCUCCCACUGUUCACCCUGGCCGCCGGCAGCUUCACCUCUACCCGUGGCUGCUCCACGGCGAUGCCCAGCUCCGGCUUCGGCAAGGCGCCCUUGGGCAGCUCCGCGGCCAGCGCCUUCGCCCCCGGCAUGCUGAGGUCCAGCUUGGGAACACCGAACUUCCCCAGCUCCGGCGGCGGCGGUGGCAGCGGCUCGGCAGACACCAGCUCCACGGCGGCGCUGGGCAGCGCGAUGUCGAUGGUGGGCACCUUCACGGCCGGGAGCUUGGUCCGCGCCGUGGGCUCCGGCGCUGCCGGGAGCGAGAUCCCCAGGCUCGGCAGCUUCAGCCUGGGCCCCUUGGCCUUGGGGCUCUCCCUGGCCGCCGCGUCCCCCUCGGGCUCCCCGGCCGCCUCCCCCUGCCCGGCUUUGCCCCCCAGCUUGGGCAGGGCAAUUUUGGGCACCUUGACAGCGAUGCUGGGAGCUUCCCAGGCGGCGGCCGGCACCGGCGCCGGCUCCGGCUCGCGCCGUGCUGUGGGCAGCUGCAGCUCCAGGGCUGGCGGCUGCACCGCAAUCUCCAGCACCGGAGCCCGUGGCCCUGGCUCCGGUGGCGCCNNNNNNNNNNN